CAUCAUGCAUAAAAUGCUUUCUGAUACGUAGAUGAACACUCGUAUUUACUAAUUAGCAGACCUGUAUAUAUUAUAUAUUACAGAUAAACUUCAAAAAUACUUAUCUUCCAUCUAGCAAUCCAGUAUCAGACUCUCUUAAACUAUUUGCUGAAAAUGAAAUGAUGCUUACCGUAUCAUGGCAAUGAUAGCGAGACGAAACUUGGCGUAAGUUAUUUCCUUUGGGAAAUUCAAAUUACCCGAAGACACUUGCCUUUGUACAUAUGCAACAUAAUAUUUGUACAUAGGUAAACUGAACAAGAAUAAAAA